rnacentral:ncRNA from 2 species
CUAUCUUUACCCCGAAUUGGUUUCGGAUGAACUAUUCCAUCAUUCGGAUUAAAAGGGAAUCGGGUGUAAAUCCCGGACAGUCCCGCUGCUGUGAAGCUCCAUAACUUUCUGAUAAAUACUUUAGCCACUGGCUGUGAAUUAGAGGUCGGGAAGGAAUCAGAAAGGGAGUCAGUCAGAAGACCUGCCAUUCGUUAAAGGUUGUU